rnacentral:rRNA from 1 species
GCGGGGUAACGGCCCACCAAAGCGACGAUCAGUAGCCGACCUGAGAGGGUGACCGGCCACAUUGGGACUGAGACACGGCCCAAACUCCUACGGGAGGCAGCAGUGGGGAAUAUUGCACAAUGGGGGAAACCCUGAUGCAGCGACGCCGCGUGGGUGAAGAAGUAUUUCGGUAUGUAAAGCCCUAUCGGCAGGGAAGAAAAAGACGGUACCUGACUAAGAAGCCCCGGCUAACUAC